rfam:Picea glauca, whole genome shotgun sequence.
UAAAUGGUGUCUUUAGACACCACCUAUUUCUGCUUGGACUGUCUUG